rnacentral:rRNA from 1 species
GACGAACGCUGGCGGCGUGCUUAACACAUGCAAGUCGAACGAAGUGGCGAACGGGUGAGUAACGCGUAAUCAACCUGCCCUUCAGGGGGGGACAACAGUUGGAAACGAAUGCUAAUACCGCAUACUGAAGGGGGGGAAUGGUGCUUAGUAGCUAGUGGGCGGGGUAACGGCCCACCAAGGCGAUGAUCAGUAGCCUGGCUGAGAGGAUGAACGGCCAAAGUGGGACUGAGACACGGCCCAGACUCCUACGGGAGGCAGCAGUGGGGAAUCUUCCUAAAUGGACGAAAUGCUGACGGAGUAAAGCCGCGGGAGGGAUGACGGCCUUCGGGUUGUAAAGCUCUGUUAAUCGGGACGCGGUACCGGAAUAGAAAGCCACGGCUAACUACGUGCCAGCAGCCGCGGUAAUAC